rnacentral:rRNA from 1 species
UCCGUAGGCGGAUUAUUAAGUCAGAGGUGAAAUCCCACAGCUUAACUGUGGAACUGCCUUUGAUACUGGUAGUCUUGAGUUAUAUGGAAGUAGAUAGAAUAUGUAGUGUAGCGGUGAAAUGCAUAGAUAUUACAUAGAAUACCGAUUGCGAAGGCAGUCUACUACGUAUAUACUGACGCUAAUGGACGAAAGCGUGGGGAGCGAACAGGAUUAGAUACCCUGGUAGUCC